rnacentral:ncRNA from 2 species
UCCGAAGCGAAGCCGGUGAGAUUCCGGCACGGUCCCGCCACCGUGAUGCGCAUGCGGCGCAGAGUCGGGUCGCCUUCGGA